rnacentral:misc_RNA from 1 species
AAUAGACCUAUUUAUCUUUUCAGGUUAAAAGUAAGGUUUAAAUAGAGACCUCAUAAAUAUUUCAGUUUUACUAAACCAAAGCCCAUCAUUAACAGGUUAUCUUUAGUGCAGGCAGCCAAGAGUUUGAAUAUAAUUUAUGCAUGAUUGAUAAAUAAUAAUAGCUCUAAGUAUAGGUUGAUGAUUAUUUGAACAAAGAGAGAAGAAAAAAAUUGCAAGCCUUGUUAGCAUUGAUCAAGAAAUGUGGCAUCUAUAUUGAUUUGAACCUAGAUUGAAUUAUCUGAACCAUUCAACCAAAUUAACAAGAAUGGUACUCUUCCAGAAUAGUCUAUUUUGGUCGUCCGUUUGAUAGCGGAAAAGAAGAAUUCAGUUUCAGAACAUUUUGAUUCUGUUAAAUUUCUUGAUGUUUCUUGGUUG